rnacentral:rRNA from 1 species
GCAGUCGUACGAUGAUGCCCAGCUUGCUGGGCGGAUUAGUGGCGAACGGGUGAGUAACACGUGAGUAACCUGCCCCUGACUCUGGGAUAAGCGUUGGAAACGACGUCUAAUACUGGAUAUGAUCACCGGCCGCAUGGUCUGGUGGUGGAAAGAUUUUUUGGUUGGGGAUGGACUCGCGGCCUAUCAGCUUGUUGGUGAGGUAAUGGCUCACCAAGGCGACGACGGGUAGCCGGCCUGAGAGGGUGACCGGCCACACUGGGACUGAGACACGGCCCAGACUCCUACGGGAGGCAGCAGUGGGGAAUAUUGCACAAUGGGCGAAAGCCUGAUGCAGCAACGCCGCGUGAGGGAUGACGGCCUUCGGGUUGUAAACCUCUUUUAGUAGGGAAGAAGCGAAAGUGACGGUACCUGCAGAAAAAGCACCGGCUAACUACGUGCCAGCAGCCGCGGUAAUACGUAGGGUGCAAGCGUUGUCCGGAAUUAUUGGGCGUAAAGAGCUCGUAGGCGGUUUGUCGCGUCUGCUGUGAAAUCCCGAGGCUCAACCUCGGGCUUGCAGUGGGUACGGGCAGACUAGAGUGCGGUAGGGGAGAUUGGAAUUCCUGGUGUAGCGGUGGAAUGCGCAGAUAUCAGGAGGAACACCGAUGGCGAAGGCAGAUCUCUGGGCCGUAACUGACGCUGAGGAGCGAAAGCAUGGGGAGCGAACAGGAUUAGAUACCCUGGUAGUCCAUGCCGUAAACGUUGGGCGCUAGAUGUAGGGACCUUUCCACGGUUUCUGUGUCGUAGCUAACGCAUUAAGCGCCCCGCCUGGGGAGUACGGUCGCAAGGCUAAAACUCAAAAGGAAUUGACGGGGGGCCCGCACAAGCGGCGGAGCAUGCGGAUUAAUUCGAUGCAAC